rnacentral:lncRNA from 1 species
CCCUACCAGGAUCUUCUGAGCUAAGUUCUCAUCUCCUUCUGGGGGCCUUCCUUAAACUCCUUCUGGCACUCACUGCUUCAUGCUUCCAGAAAGCCAUGUGCAGUUUCCUAUCCACCAUGUAAAGCGAGCAUCUUGUGGCCAUAUUGACAGACUCAGAGUACCUGUUUCAAAUGUUUGGGUCAGAUGCUGCUUUUCCCUUCAGUGCUGUGCAGCUCUGGUGUGUCGGCCUCCAGCUUUUCCUGGGGUCACAGACCUCGCGACCACCAGGUGCCCAAGGAAAUCAGUCGUUGAGGCGAACGGCUUCACUUCUUGUCCCAUUUGUGUGUGUGGCUGGAAUUCUCUAGCCUGAAUGAUUCAUUUAGACUCCAUAGACCACCACCUGUAUUCACAGAGUCUCAGACCGACUUUUAAGAUGCAUUUCAUUUUUGUCUCAAGGUUACAUAUCUAACCAGUGUGUUAUAAAGGGUAUUGGCCACAGGUAGAGAAUGUAUCAUAUUCCAUAUUUCUAAAAUGGCUUAUGGCAAUUGCUUUAAGAGAAUUAUCCAUGAUUUCAUCCUAAAGCAAACAAGUUUCCAUUUGUGUCACCUUGUAUUUCUUGUCUAUGUACAUACUCAGUGUUUGCAUUUUACAAUAAAACCAAAGAUAGAAUUUUAGUCUUAAUUUUCCAUAAUAUUAUGGCAUGCAUAUUAUCCAAGAAAAUUUGUUUCCAAAACAAAAAAUUCCAAAAAUUUCUAUCCAAGAAAAUUUGUUUCUCUUUUUUUAAAA